AUUGAACGCUGGCGGCAGGCCUAAUACAUGCAAGUCGAACGAGUGGCGGACGGGUGAGUAACGUCUGGGAAACUGCCUGACGGCGGGGGAUACCUACUGGAAACGGUCGCUAAAACCGCAAACCAGCCGAUGUGACCAGAUGGGAUUAGCUAGUAGGUGGGGUAACGGCUCACCCAGGCGACGAUCCCUAGCUGGUCUGAGAGGAUGACCAGCCACACUGGAACUGAGACACGGUCCAGACUCCUACGGGAGGCAGCAGUGGGGAAUAUUGCACAAUGGGCGCAAGCCUGAUGCAGCCAUGCCGCGUGUAUGAAGAAGGCCUUCGGGUUGUAAAGUACUUUCAGCGGGGAGGCGUUACCCGCAGAAGAAGCACCGGCUAACUCCGUGCCAGCAGCCGCGGUAAUUC
rnacentral:rRNA from 1 species